rfam:Trichobilharzia regenti genome assembly, scaffold: TRE_scaffold0061411
GCAAAGGCCCUUUUUAGGGCCACUACAUACUGAUUCAUUGUCUUUG